AGUGAACGCUGGCGGUAGGCCUAACACAUGCAAGUCGAACGGCAGCACAGUAAGAGCUUGCUCUUACGGGUGGCGAGUGGCGGACGGGUGAGGAAUACAUCGGAAUCUACUUUUUCGUGGGGGAUAACGUAGGGAAACUUACGCUAAUACCGCAUAUGAUCUACGGGUGAAAGCAGGGGAUAUUCGGACCUUGCGCGAUUGAAUGAGCCGAUGUCGGAUUAGCUAGUUGGCGGGGUAAAGGCCCACCAAGGCGACGAUCCGUAGCUGGUCUGAGAGGAUGAUCGGCCACACUGGAACUGAGACACGGUCCAGACUCCUACGGGAGGCAGCAGUGGGGAAUAUUGGACAAUGGGCGCAAGCCUGAUGCAGCCAUACCGCGUGGGUGAAGAAGGCCUUCGGGUUGUAAAGCCCUUUUGUUGGGAAAGAAAAGCAGCAGGUUAAUACCCCGCUGUUCUGACGGUACCCAAAGAAUAAGCACCGGCUAACUACGUG
rnacentral:rRNA from 1 species